AAAAUGCGAUACUUGGUGUGAAUUGCAGAAUCCCGUGAACCAUCGAGUUUUUGAACGCAAGUUGCGCCCGAAACCAUUCGGUCGAGGGCACGUCUGCCUGGGCGUCACGU
rnacentral:rRNA from 1 species